CGAAUCCGUUAUUAUAUGUUUGCUCUCAUUUUUGUUGUUUUUGAUGUUGAAACGGUUUUUCUUUAUCCAUGGGCAAUGAGUUUCGAUGUAUUAGGGGUAUCCGUAUUUUUAGAAGCUUUCUUAUUCGUGCUUAUCCUAAUUGUUGGUUCAGUUUAUGCAUGGCGAAAGGGGGCAUUAGAAUGGUCUUAAUUCUUGACUAUUUAGACAAUUAGAAAAAAAAAUAUUGAGACAAUUAUGAAUUCCAUUGAGUUUCCCUUACUUGAUCAAACAACCCAAAAUUCAGUUAUUUCAACGACAUUAAAUGAUUUUUCAAAUUGGUCAAGAUUAUCCAGUUUAUGGCCGCUUCUUUAUGGUACGAGUUGUUGCUUCAUUGAAUUUGCUUCAUUAAUAGGAUCACGAUUCGAUUUUGAUCGUUAUGGACUAGUACCACGAUCGAGUCCUAGGCAGGCGGACCUAAUUUUAACAGCGGGCACUGUAACUAUGAAAAUGGCCCCUUCUUUAGUUCGAUUAUAUGAACAAAUGCCCGAACCUAAAUAUGUUAUUGCUAUGGGAGCCUGUACAAUUACGGGGGGAUGUUUAGUACCGAUUCUUAUAGUACUGUUCGAGGCGUAGAUAAGCUAAUUCCUGUAGAUGUAUAUUUGCCGGGCUGUCCACCUAAACCGGAGGCCAUUAUAGAUGCUAUAACAAAACUUCGUAAGAAAAUAUCUCGAGAAAUAUAUGAAGAUCCAAUGAGUUUUCAACGAGAGAAUAGAUCACCCGGAGGACUCUUAGCUAGUGUAUAUCAUUUUACAAGAAUAGAGUAUGGUAUAAAUCAACCCGAAGAGGUAUGCAUAAAAAUAUUUGUAUCAAGAAAAAAUCCCAGAAUUCCUUCGAUUUUUUGGGUUUGGAAAAGUGCGGAUUUUCAAGAAAAGGAAUCUUAUGAUAUGUUGGGAAUCUCUUAUGAUAGUCAUCCGCGUCUAAGACGUAUUUUAAUGCCCGAAAAUUGGAUAGGAUGGCCUUUGCGUAAAGAUUAUAUUGCUCCAAAUUUUUAUGAAAUACAAGAUGCUCACUAAAUGAUAAAAAUAAUAAACUAAUCCAAACUUCUGCAACCCCAGUCAAAGAAUAUAAGUACAUUCUGUUAUAGAUCAGACAAAAUAAUUGAUUGACAUUAAAUCAGGCAGAGUAAUGGAAGUUGCAUUCAGAUAUUAUUAUGUGAGAAAUCACAAAAUUCAGAAAUAAUAGAAUGAAUAAUUAUAGGGUUUAAAAUAGGAUAGGAGUUUCUUAAGAUUCUAAAACAAAAACAAUACUGAGUUCUUAUCAGCCAAGCCAAUAAAAGAAAUAGGAUGAACUGCAAAAAUUCUUUAUCUUUAUAAUCAACUAAUUCUUUAUCUUUAUAAUAAACUAUAUAACGUGCACAUCACCAUCAAUUAUACGGCCACGAAAAAAAAAACACAAAGAAAAGGGCUCGAUUCUAUUUUGGUAAUCCUUCUCAGAUGAAUUCUUAAUAUUCUCACUCCACCCCAGAACUUCGACUUUUAGGUCUUUUAACCAACUAAUUAAACCACUCGAAUAUUAUGGAAAUAGAAACCUUUUUUUGUAUCGCAGAAAAAAAAGGAAAAAAAUAGAUAAAGAAUUCAUUAUCUAUAUAUCUAUAUCUAUAUAUAUAUAGAUACUAUAGAUAAGCGAAUAUACCUAAUAAAAAAUUGCAUCUAUUCUUUAAUCAUCUAGGAAAAGUAUAUCUACAGAUACCUAAAUAGAUCAAAGAAAUAUGUUAUGUAUCAGAAUCUAGAAGAACACAAAUUUGUAUGAGUAUCUAUCCCCCAUAUUCAUUUUAAUGAAUAUGGGGGAUAGAUACUCAUACAAAUGAAUCUUGUGUCAGGAACCAGAUUUGAACUGGUGACACGAGGAUUUUCAGUCCUCUGCUCUACCAACUGAGCUAUCCCGACCAUUCUUGAAGCUUAAUACUUUGAUUUUAAAAGAUUUUUAAAAUCUAUGUUAAUGAAUCUAUAUCAACUAAGUAAAAAAAAAGUUUGUAAGUGAGUUUCCGCAGUAAUAAUUAUUUUUUAUUGUUAAUCGUUAAUUACGCAUAUGAAAAUUCCUUGCUAAAAAAUAAGAUAUUAAUUUAUACAUUUCUGAUUAAAAAAAAUUCUAUGUGUUUCACAUAUAUAUUUAUAUCUAUUCCAAAACUCGUCCCUUGUCAUUAUGAUAGAUAAGAAAAUUAUGAUAGAUAGGAAAUUGAUGAAAAUAAAAAUUCCAAUUUCGUUGGGAAAUAAUAAAUCGAAUAAAACACAUAAAUAAGGACUUCAAGAUAGAGAGGAUAUAGGAAAAAAAUUAGAAAAUGAAAAAGUAUUUUUGGGGAUAGAGGGACUUGAACCCUCAUGAUUUCUUAAGUCGACGGAUUUUCCUCUUACUUUCAAUUUCAUUGUUGUCGGUAUUGACAUGUAGAAUAGGACUCUAUCUUUAUUCUCAUCUGAUUUAUCAGUUCUUCAAGGGUUUUAGCCGAUUAUGAUGAAGUGAAUAAUUUCAUCAAUAAAUAUUCCAUCUUUUCUUCAACUUCGAAUUGAUUUGAUUCACAUUUUUCAUUUGUGAAUAUUUUUAUCACAAAUAGAUCUUCAAUAAUAAAAUAAAAAGUAACAAAUUGAAAGAGUAUUUCAGUAUAUAUAUAUGUUUCUAAAUGUUUAUCUUUGAUCCAUUCCUGUAAUUUUGGUGAAAGGAUUCUUUUACUAAUGCAAUAAAAAAAGUCGUCAAUUUCGUUUGUUAGAACAGCUUCCAUAGAGUCUCUGCACCUAUCCCUUUUUUAUUAUCACUUUCUGAAUUUUUAUUUGUUUUCAGAAAACAGGAUUUGGCUCAGGAUUGCCCAUUGUGAAUUCCAGGGUUUCUCUGAAUUUGAAAAUUAUUACUUGGUAAGUUUCCAUACCAAAACUCAAUCCAAUUAAGUCCGUAGCGUCUACCAAUUUCGCCAUAU